AUUGAACGCUGGCGGCAUGCCUUACACAUGCAAGUCGAACGGCAGCACGGGAGCAAUCCUGGUGGCGAGUGGCGAACGGGUGAGUAAAGUAUCGGAACGUGCCCAGUCAUGGGGGAUAACGUAGCGAAAGUUACGCUAAUACCGCAUACGAUCAAUGGAUGAAAGCGGGGGAUCGCAAGACCUCGCGCGAUUGGAGCGGCCGAUAUCAGAUUAGGUAGUUGGUGGGGUAACGGCUCACCAAGCCGACGAUCUGUAGCUGGUCUGAGAGGACGACCAGCCACACUGGGACUGAGACACGGCCCAGACUCCUACGGGAGGCAGCAGUGGGGAAUUUUGGACAAUGGGCGAAAGCCUGAUCCAGCCAUGCCGCGUGCAGGAUGAAGGCCUUCGGGUUGUAAACUGCUUUUGUACGGAACGAAAAGGUUUGGCCUAAUAAGCUGAGCUCAUGACGGUACCGUAAGAAUAAGCACCGGCUAACUACGUGCCAGCCGCCGCGGUAA
rnacentral:rRNA from 1 species